GACGAACGCUGGCGGUGUGCUUAACACAUGCAAGUGGUGCGACGAACCAGAGCUUGCUCUGGGGCAAAGCCGCGAACGGGUGAGUAACACGUGGGUAAUCUACCCCGAUGACCGGGACAACCCGAGGAAACUCGGGCUAAUACCGGAUGUGAUGCGGAGACAUAAGUCUCUUCACUAAAGGUAGCUUCGGCUUCCGCAUUGGGAGGGGCCCGCGGCCCAUUAGCUUGUUGGUGGGGUCAAGGCCUACCAAGGCAACGAUGGGUAGCUGGUCUGAGAGGACGAUCAGCCACACUGGGACUGAGACACGGCCCAGACUCCUACGGGAGGCAGCAGUGGGGAAUCUUGCGCAAUGCGCGAAAGCGUGACGCAGCAACACCGCGUGAGGGAAGAAGGCCUUAGGGUUGUAAACCUCUUUCAGAUGGGACGAAGGUUCUCCGGUGAAUAGCCGAGAGGAUUGACGGUACCGUCAGAAGAAGCUCCGGCUAACUACGUG
rnacentral:rRNA from 1 species